GACGAACGCUGGCGGCGUGCUUAUCACAUGCAGGUCGAACGGAAAGGCCCUGCUUUUGUGGGGUGCUCGAGUGGCGAACGGGUGAGUAACACGUGAGUAACCUGCCCUUGACUUUGGGAUAACUUCAGGAAACUGGGGCUAAUACCGGAUAGGAGCUCCUGCUGCAUGGUGGGGGUUGGAAAGUUUCGGCGGUUGGGGAUGGACUCGCGGCUUAUCAGCUUGUUGGUGGGGUAGUGGCUUACCAAGGCUUUGACGGGUAGCCGGCCUGAGAGGGUGACCGGCCACAUUGGGACUGAGAUACGGCCCAGACUCCUACGGGAGGCAGCAGUGGGGAAUAUUGCACAAUGGGCGGAAGCCUGAUGCAGCAACGCCGCGUGCGGGAUGACGGCCUUCGGGUUGUAAACCGCUUUCGCCUGUGACGAAGCGUGAGUGACGGUAAUGGGUAAAGAAGCACCGGCUAACUACGUG
rnacentral:rRNA from 1 species